rnacentral:rRNA from 1 species
GACGAACGCUGGCGGCACGCUUAACACAUGCAAGUCGAACGAGAGAAGAGAAGCUUGCUUUUCUGAUCUAGUGGCGGACGGGUGAGUAACACGUGAGCAAUCUGCCUUUCAGAGGGGGAUACCGAUUGGAAACGAUCGUUAAUACCGCAUAACAUAAUUGAACCGCAUGAUUUGAUUAUCAAAGAUUUAUCGCUGAAAGAUGAGCUCGCGUCUGAUUAGCUAGUUGGUAAGGUAACGGCUUACCAAGGCGACGAUCAGUAGCCGGACUGAGAGGUUGAUCGGCCACAUUGGGACUGAGACACUGACCAGACUCCUACGGGAGGCAGCAGUGGGGAAUAUUGCACAAUGGAGGAAACUCUGAUGCAGCGAUGCCGCGUGAGGGAAGAAGGUUUUAGGAUUGUAAACCUCUGUCUUCAGGGACGAAAAAAGACGGUACCUGAGGAGGAAGCUCCGGCUAACUACGUG